GACGAACGCUGGCGGCGUGCCUAACACAUGCAAGUCGAACGGAAAGGCUUCCUUCGGGAAGUACUCGAGUGGCGAACGGGUGAGUAACACGUGGGUAACCUGCCCUUGACUGGGGGACAACCGGGGGAAACUCCGGCUAAUACCGCAUGAUGUGCAUCUUCAUAAGUGGAUGUACCAAAGAUAGCUUCGGCUUUCGGUCAAGGAUGGGCCCGCGGCGGAUUAGCUUGUUGGUGGGGUAAUGGCCUACCAAGGCGACGAUCCGUAGCUGGUCUGAGAGGACGAUCAGCCACACUGGAACUGAGACACGGUCCAGACUCCUACGGGAGGCAGCAGUGGGGAAUCUUGCGCAAUGGGCGAAAGCCUGACGCAGCAACGCCGCGUGAGGGAAGACGGCCUUAGGGUUGUAAACCUCUUUCAGUAGGGACGAAGCUUCCACGGUGAAUAGCCGUGUGGAGUGACGGUACCUACAGAAGAAGCCCCGGCUAACUACGUGCCAGCAGCCGCGGUAACAC
rnacentral:rRNA from 1 species